AGAGUUUGAUCCUGGCUCAGGACGAACGCUGGCGGCGUGCCUAAUACAUGCAAGUAGAACGCUGAAGGAGGAGCUUGCUUCUCUGGAUGAGUUGCGAACGGGUGAGUAACGCGUAGGUAACCUGCCUGGUAGCGGGGGAUAACUAUUGGAAACGAUAGCUAAUACCGCAUAAGAGUGGAUGUUGCAUGACAUUUGCUUAAAAGGUGCACUUGCAUCACUACCAGAUGGACCUGCGUUGUAUUAGCUAGUUGGUGGGGUAAGGGCUCACCAAGGCGACGAUACAUAGCCGACCUGAGAGGGUGAUCGGCCACACUGGGACUGAGACACGGCCCAGACUCCUACGGGAGGCAGCAGUAGGGAAUCUUCGGCAAUGGACGGAAGUCUGACCGAGCAACGCCGCGUGAGUGAAGAAGGUUUUCGGAUCGUAAAGCUCUGUUGUAAGAGAAGAACGAGUGUGAGAGUGGAAAGUUCACACUGUGACGGUAUCUUACCAGAAAGGGACGGCUAACUACGUGCCAGCAGCCGCGGUAAUACGUAGGUCCCGAGCGUUGUCCGGAUUUAUUGGGCGUAAAGCGAGCGCAGGCGGUUAGAUAAGUCUGAAGUUAAAGGCUGUGGCUUAACCAUAGUAGGCUUUGGAAACUGUUUAACUUGAGUGCAAGAGGGGAGAGUGGAAUUCCAUGUGUAGCGGUGAAAUGCGUAGAUAUAUGGAGGAACACCGGUGGCGAAAGCGGCUCUCUGGCUUGUAACUGACGCUGAGGCUCGAAAGCGUGGGGAGCAAACAGGAUUAAAUACCCUGGUAGUCCACGCUGUAAACGAUGAGUGCUAGGUGUUAGACCCUUUCCGGGGUUUAGUGCCGUAGCUAACGCAUUAAGCACUCCGCCUGGGGAGUACGACCGCAAGGUUGAAACUCAAAGGAAUUGACGGGGGCCCGCACAAGCGGUGGAGCAUGUGGUUUAAUUCGAAGCAACGCGAAGAACCUUACCAGGUCUUGACAUCCCUCUGACCGCUCUAGAGAUAGAGUUUUCCUUCGGGACAGAGGUGACAGGUGGUGCAUGGUUGUCGUCAGCUCGUGUCGUGAGAUGUUGGGUUAAGUCCCGCAACGAGCGCAACCCCUAUUGUUAGUUGCCAUCAUUUAGUUGGGCACUCUAGCGAGACUGCCGGUAAUAAACCGGAGGAAGGUGGGGAUGACGUCAAAUCAUCAUGCCCCUUAUGACCUGGGCUACACACGUGCUACAAUGGCUGGUACAACGAGUCGCAAGCCGGUGACGGCAAGCUAAUCUCUUAAAGCCAGUCUCAGUUCGGAUUGUAGGCUGCAACUCGCCUACAUGAAGUCGGAAUCGCUAGUAAUCGCGGAUCAGCACGCCGCGGUGAAUACGUUCCCGGGCCUUGUACACACCGCCCGUCACACCACGAGAGUUUGUAACACCCGAAGUCGGUGAGGUAACCGUAAGGAGCCAGCCGCCUAAGGUGGGAUAGAUGAUUGGGGUGAAGUCGUAACAAGGUAGCCGUAUCGGAAGGUGCGGCUGGGUCACCU
rnacentral:rRNA from 1 species